rnacentral:rRNA from 1 species
UACGUAGGGUGCAAGCGCUAAUCGGAAUUACUGGGCGUAAAGCGUGCGCAGGCGGUUUUGUAAGUCAGAUGUGAAAUCCCCGGGCUUAACCUGGGAACUGCGUUUGAAACUACAAGGCUAGAGUGUGGCAGAGGGGGGUGGAAUUCCACGUGUAGCAGUGAAAUGCGUAGAGAUGUGGAGGAACACCGAUGGCGAAGGCAGCCCCCUGGGUUAACACUGACGCUCAGGCACGAAAGCGUGGGGAGCAAACAGG